rnacentral:lncRNA from 1 species
CAAUAUCCACUUGUUUCCAAAUUAGCAAAAUGCAAGAUGGUUCAUUUUAAGUUAACCAAGUUUAACAUUUGAUUAAGCCAUGCUAACAGACCAUAUAUAAAGCAUUUUUCUGUCACAUUAAACCCUAGAAACAGAAGCAGCCACGACCAUUUUUCCUCACUCUCUCAUUCUUGCAACUUGGCUCGAGUUGAAUUCCUGCCCAAAAGUUCCACAAAACCUC